rnacentral:rRNA from 1 species
UAUGUCCUACGGGGCGCAGCAGUGAGGAAUAUUGGUCAAUGGGCGGGAGCCUGAACCAGCCAAGUCGCGUGAGGGAAGACGGUGCUAUGGAUUGUAAACCUCUUUAGGCGGGGAGCAAUGCCGGGCACGCGUGUCCGAAGGGAGAGUACCCGCAGAAUAAGCAUCGGCUAACUCCGUGCCAGCAGCCGCGGUAAUACGGAGGAUGCGAGCGUUAUCCGGGUUUAUUGGGUUUAAAGGGUGCGUAGGCGGAUUUUUAAGUCAGCGGUAAAAUGUGCGGGCUCAACCCG